rnacentral:tRNA from 1 species
GGGCCGUUAGCUCAGCGGUAGAGCACUGUCCUUACACGACAGCUGUCGCAGGUUCGAUCCCUGCACGGCCCACCA